rnacentral:misc_RNA from 1 species
UUGCCUGUCCUGGUGCAAGGGGGUGAUUCAUAUGAAAGAUACACAAACUAUUUAUUCUGCUGCAAAAUGAAGAAAAUGUAGUGUUUUCAUCUCAAGAUACCAGGAUGACCAUCAGAGAUACCGCAGCGUUGCUCUGUGUCUGGCUGAUAUUCAUUCCGAGCAAUGUUUACGUGUAUUCUGCUAAUUCUGGGAACCAGAAUGAGGGCCUUUCUUACACCUUUAGUUGUAGCUCCGGUUACUUUAUAGACAUGACAAGUGGGACGUAUUACACAUGUUCUUCAUCUAGCGUGAACGUAUUGUCGACGCUGCAGCUCCAUCUCGAUGGGCAUACCUCGAAAGCGUUAACUAUCAGCGACACUCUGUUCGGAACUACUUCAGACAGCUGUACGGCUUACUUAAAUGCAGAAUGGCAAUGUGGCCGCAAUGGAGGCUGGUCUAACUGGGGAACAUGGAGUGACUGUCCGGUUAUUUGCGGAGGUGGUGUAUCCAUAUCUAGGACACGCGCGUGUGACAACCCUUCGUUCGUUUCCCCAGGGUCCUACUGUAGUGGUGAUGCUACAGAAACACAGUACUGUAACACACACACUUGUGACGAUGAUGCCCAGUUAGACACCCAUCGUGGGCCCUGGACAUUGGUGUACAAGGCCCCCGCGGGUACGACGGUGUCAGGAUACAGCGAUUACUACACACACUUCAUUGACAGCACUUCGUCUAGCACACUCAAUGAUGGAAGUGUGUCGGUCAUGCGCGACUUCAGUUCCGGCGGAAGUGCGUUCAAAUCUUCAAAGUUGCUUCAAUGGAAGUCUGGCAUAACCAUAUCCGCCGUACGACUGUCAGUAUUCAAAAGUGGAAAAGAAGUAGCCUACGUGAUAUUUGAUGCACUCGGGAAAGGGAAAUUGGACUGGUUCAACUGCGAUAACAUAAUCGGCUCCAGCUACACAGACAUAGCAACCUACUCAGAAAAUUACUGUGGACUUUCACCGUGGGAUUCCAACUACAAGAGAAACUUUUUCAUCAAUGGCUACGGAACCGGAUGUACAACUAUGUAUGGGUGGAUAGUGCUGAAGGAUUUUAACUCUGUGUCCGGCUGUACUGAGUGGGACCCAUCUACAACGAGUAGUCCAUAUAUAAAAUAUUCCACGAGCACAACACUACAAAAUUUUUAUUCCGGUUCAGUUAGCAAUGGUGACAGCUUGGCUAUAUUCAUCAUGGAAUGGCACAUGGUGUUCAAAGGAGUGCAAGGUGUGACCCCGACAGCAGGGUCACUGGUUGACCUCUGGACGGGUUCGACCGUGGAGAAUGAUAACGACGACUCGAAAACCACCAUCACCACGUCACCCGGCAGUACCGUCAAGUCAAGUCUGGUGGAGGACUGGGAAGGAUACUUUACCUUGAUCGAUAUGGUGAAGUACGCCUAUUUCACGAGUGGAGACGAAAAGGCCUAUGUUGUGUUUGAUGGGCGGGGCACGACCAAGAUCACAUGGUUUGCUGAUGGGAAGGAAAUAUAUUCCAGUUACAGUGAUGUCACCACCGAUACACCAACCACCAGUGGAAUAGCAGGUGACACAUACCGGAAGUUUGCUCUUAUCAGAACUAGUAGUUCCUGUUCCGGUUUUUAUGCGUGGAUGAUGGUUCUAGACGUUGGAAAAAGUGUACUGUGCUCUUUUGAUAACAACGUCCAGACUCGCCCCUACUUUUUAUACAGCAGUACCACCACAGACCGUUUAGCUGAGUCAGGUAGUUCAUGGGACUCAUCUGGUUUUCCAGCUGCGGAUACACUUGGGAUUUUUGUGAAAGGUUUUUACCCUGUGAUGAAGUGGGCAAGAGGCCAAUCGAUUUCACCCGCUAGCAGUGUCUACGACCUUUGGACCGGGACCUACACUUUAAAUGAAUUUACAACCUCUGCUCAUUCGUUUGCGGCCUCCACGUCUACGUAUAAAUCAAGCCUCGUAGACAGCUGGUCAAGCUAUUAUUUCACGGCGGUACGCGUGUCAAUGUAUACCAGCGGUGUGGAAACGGCCUACGUAGUAUUCGAUGCUCACGGAUCUGACAAAUCAUCGUGGUUUGAUUGUGACAGAAUCCUGUACACGAACUUCCAGGAUCUUAAUAGGCGGACAAGCUCACUAGUGUACUGUAGUAUAGCCGGAGAUACCUCGGCAUCAAGACGGUUCUUCAUCGAGUAUACUUACAGCAGUUGUGGUACAGCCGGCGGAUGGAUAGGCGUAUUUGAAGGCUCCAGUUGUUCUUAUGACAAUAAAGCUACAUCGCCAUUCGCGAUGUAUAGUGACGCAUCGCCUGCUAGAUACGAAUACAAUGACAAUAUGGCUAUUGCAGACGUCUUUGUCAUAUCCGUAGCAAUGGACGAUUUCUGUGACUUCAGUCCUUGUCAGAAUGGCGGCACGUGUUACCACAGAGGGGUGAAGUAUGAAUGCGUCUGUGAUGGAGCUUACUAUGGACUGGACUGCGCAGAUCUUGACGGUAACUUCACAACUUGGACGGAUUGGAAUACGUGUAGUACUACGUGCUACGCAUGGGGAACACAGAGCAGGACCAGGACAUGUACUAAUCCGACACCAGCGGGUCCGAACGGCCAGGGUUGUACGGGAGACACAUCAGAGACUCAAGGAUGUAUUCCUAAUUUGGCCACAUGUCCCGUGUACAAUACGGGGGACAUCCAAGUCGAUUUGUCCUACACAAUGGUUUGUCAGUCCGGACUUUACAUAUUCGUCUCGAGCGCCUUCUAUGGGUAUAGUACUACGUGCUUCGAUACGGAUCCCCUUUCUGACGUCAGAGUAGCGUGUCACGGACAAGCUACUAACUGUACUAUAACUUUUAACGACGCCACCUUCGGAGGAAACCCGUGUUCAUCAUACUCGGUUACAAAAUACGGAUAUGCAACAAUGUACUGUGUCGAAUCGUUGAUGUUAUCAACAUUCCAGGGCCCUUGGAGGCUGGUGUUCAAAUCUCCAACCGGAACAGCGCCACCUUCUGGUCAUGCCGAUGUAGCCUCGUUUUACCUGUCGUCCGAUACAGUUAAUGACGGCACUGAGAGUGUGAUGACUGACUUCUCGUCAGGAGGUUCUAUGUACAAGUCAGCCUUGUUGAACGAGUGGGGAGUCAACCGGACGUUUUCAGCUGUUCGAUACUCGGUUUACAAGAAUGAUGAAGAGGUUGCGUACAUCGUGUACAACGGGCAGGGGACAAGCAAGGACACAUGGAUGAACUGUGACAAUAUCCUGUAUUCAAGUUACACGGAUAUAAAAACAGUUUCUAAGAACUACUGUGAUAUCAAAUAUACAGACACGACGACAUUUAAGCAUAGUUUCUACGUUAGCUCCACACACGGUGUGUGUAAUGCCUAUGCAGGAUGGGUUUUCAUCAAAGACUAUGGAUCGACUACAGGCUGCUCUGCCUGGGCACCGUACGAUGGUUCCAGGACGGAGCCCUAUGUUGUGUACUCAACUGCAAGCACGUUAACACAAUGGAGUUCAGGAAAUGUUGGUUAUGCAGACGCAAUUGGUAUAUUUGUCCAAGACUGGCAUAUGGUAUUCAAGGGUGUUGAUGGCGUCACUCCUUCGGCUGGUAACCUAGAAACCCUGUGGGAGGGAACUACCACAGAAUACAAUGGCGACGAGACAGUCAAGACAAUUAAUAACAUCCCAGCCGUCUCGUACAAAUCGGCUGUGGUGGAGGAUUGGGCAAGCAACUGGACAAUCAUUGACCAGGUGAAGUAUUCGUUUUUCAAAUCUGGCGAAGAAGAAGCCCAUGUAGUGUUUGAUGGUAUAAACACGAACAAAAAUACAUGGAUGGAUCCUGCAAACGUUCUGUUUUCUCUUGAGUUUGGAAGCACCGUCAAUGCCACGACAGCAAGUAUAUCUGGUGAUGGAACAAGAUCCUUUGCUGUGAUAGAGGAGAGCGGUACGUGUGCCGCUCUGUCUGCAUGGAUGUUAGUUUUAGAUGAUGCAUCCGGAAGCACCACUUGCUCAUUUGAUAACAAUGUCCGAACACGGCCUUACUUCUUGUAUAGCAACAGUGGGGAUGCAGGUCACCCCGAAUCCAGUUCAUCCUGGGACAGUGUCAAUUUCCCAUACGCUGACACACUUGGCAUCUUCAUAAUAGGUUGGUUCCCUGUGAUGAAAGUUGCUUACGGAGAAAGUGUGAGUCCGGCUACUGGUAUAUACAAUCUUUGGACGGGUACCUACACGCUGAAUGAAUACGACUUUGCCGCAUAUUCCAUGUCUACAGGGACGUUAUCCUACAAAUCAAGUAUCGUUGAUAGCUGGGCGUCUAUUUACAAACAGGCGGUUCGAGUUGCAUUUUCCGUAGGAGGCGAAGAGAAAGCAUACGUAGUGUUUGAUGCGCACUCAUCUACGAAAACAUCAUGGUUUAAUUGUGACAGAAUUUUAUAUACAUCUUACGCAGACCUGACCAGAGACACGACGGUACUGCACUGCUCUGUAGCCGGAAACAAUAACCGGCACUUUUUCAUAGAGGAGACAUAUGGCUCAGGCUGUGACGGUAACUUCGGAUGGUUUGGAAUCAUAGAGGGCAGUACCUGCUCCUACGAUUCAAAAGGAACGACUCCAUUUCCCUUAUAUAGCGAUGCAGGAUUUUCUGAAGCAAACGAUGAUAUGGUCGUUCCUGAAGUAUUUUCGAUUUCAAUCGCCCGGGACAACAUGUGCGGUCUGGUCACGUGCUUGAACGGCGGCACGUGUUAUGACUGGGGAGCACGAUUUGAAUGUGUUUGCGCCGGCGAUUACUACGGUGGAGCGUGUCAGAACUUGAAUGGAGGAUGGACAAGUUGGUCGGCAUGGACAGACUGUAGCACCACUUGCUACGCCCAUGGAACGCAGACACGCGAAAGAAAUUGUACCAACCCAACAACAGCUGGAGAUGGCGUCUACUGCAUAGGAUACAGCAAUCAGACAGAAUUUUGUAUCCCAGACAACUUAGAUAUCUGUUCACAAUAUUCCACAGGCGAUAUAGCUGAGGGUGACAAUUACACCAUGGUCUGCCCAACUCACUCUCUGUUCUAUAUCCAUAUAUACGAUGCUUCCUAUGGCAACGUUGGGCAGCCAUGUCUUACUUCUGAUCCAGUCAGUAUCAUGCGUACGGCCUGUCAUGGCAGCACAACAAGCUGUAACGUAAUAUUCAACGAUGCCACGUUUGGGGGCGAUCCAUGUUCUUCUUACCCUUCAUUAGCAAAAAGUGGAUACAUCACUUACUUCUGUGCAAAAAGCCGGCCGUUAGACGAGGCUAGAGGGCCCUGGAGUCUCGUAUUCAAAGCUCCACGAGGCACAGCCCCGCCCUCUGGUCAUGCUGAUAUCAUGUCGCUAUAUACUGCCAGUGGUCCUUAUAACGAGGAUGUAACGGCUGCCAUGACAGAUUUCUCUGCAUCAGGUUCUCUCUACAAGUCGGCUAAAUUAGACCAGUGGGGUUCAAAUUUGACGGUGACUACUGUAAAAGUAGCCAUUUACACAGGCGGAACAGAAUCGGCCCAUGUGAUUUUUGAUGCAACUGGAAAAGGGAAGGACGACUGGUUUGAUUGUACUAAGAUAAUUGACUCCAGCUGGAAUGAUAUUGAAACUGGAAAUAAGACCUGCACAUUAAACUCUGGCGACACUUACAAAAGGAUAUUUCACAUCAGUAGCGACUAUGCUGGAUGUUCUGAUGAAACGGGGUGGUUCAUGUUUAAAGACUACGGAGCCUCAAGCGGUUGUUCGUUAUCAGACGCUACCAGUACUGCCAUGCCAUACAUGCUGUACUCCACUCUCGGGCUGCGCACUGUAUGGUCAUCUGCCAGCAAAGCAACAGGGGACUGUCUGGCUAUAUUUGUUAUGGAUUGGCACAUGGUAUUCAAGGCAGUUGCUGGUGAUACCAGCCCAGGUAGCCUGGAGACAUUGUGGGGUGGGACUACGUUAUUAAAUGAUGGACUUGAAUCUGCUACCUCUAUCACCAACACUCCAGCAAGUGGAUACAAAUCCAGUGCCGUAGAAGCAUGGUCAGACGACUUCACCUUCAUCGAUAUGGUGAAAUAUGCAUACUUUACUGGCGGAGUAGAAAAGGCAUGGAUUGUAUUCGACGGCGUUGGCACCUCGAAGACGACUUGGUUCCAAGAGAGCAAAAUCCUGUUUUCUAGCUAUACUGAUAUCGGGACCGCUGGUAAAACAACCGUCAGUGUAACCGGGGACGGGAUACGCUCGUUUGCUGUCAUUGAUACGUAUCCUAACUGUGACGGUCUCAUGGCGUGGAUGAUGGUAUCUGACUUCAGUAGUUCAACCAACUGCGCUUUUGACAGCGCAACAACCAAGCCGUACUUCAUCUAUAGUAGCACGGAUGUCCAAGGCUCACCACAGUCAGGAUCUUCAUAUGACAGUGCUGCUUUCCCUCAAGCUGAUGUGAUGGGUAUUUUUAUCCACGGUUGGUUCCCUGUUAUGAAGGUUUCUAAGGACUUUGGAGUAUCUCCAGCUUCCGGUAUAUACGAUCUGUGGACAAACACAUACACCGUGAACGAAUACAACGACAGCCUAAACGCCUUCUCCUUCGCCGCCAAUACAAUGACUUAUAAGUCAAGAAUCCCGGAUUCCUGGGCCAGCUACUACAUCAGAGCAGUAAGGCUUUCCUUCAUUACCUCUGGGAUAGAAAGGGCUUAUGUGGUUUUUGAUGCCCAUGGCUCAUCAAAAACCUCCUGGUUGUCUUGUGACAGGAUUUUGUAUUCCUCUUGGACGGAUCUGAACCGUGAAGGUACCAAGGACAGAUGUACUAUGAUCGGAGACGCCUCCGCCACGACCUACUUCUCGCUAUUAUCGAAUUACGGGAAGGGAUCGUGUUCUACACAAAGUGGCUGGUUCACUGUAAUUGACAGCAACGCCGGGAGUUGUACGUGGGAGUCCAAGGACUCAACUUACCCCCAUGUGGUGUACAGCGACACAACAACCGUCGAGCUGAAUACAGGAUUUGCUGUAGCGGACGUAUUUGCAAUAUCUAUAUCAAUGGACAACAUUUGUGACAUAGUGACGUGUGAAAAUGGUGCCACGUGCUUGGACUGGGGUGGACGUUACUCAUGUUCCUGUGAUGGCGACCACUAUGGUCAUCUCUGUCAGAACAUAAAUGGCAACUACACUGCUUGGUCGGACUGGACGGACUGCAGUACCACGUGCUACGCUCAGGGAGUACAUACAAGAAAUCGGACAUGUACAACCCCGACACCACUCGGUAUUGGGCUGGACUGCACUGGCAUGGGUCCAGCUGAUGAGCUCGAAUUAUGCAUUCCGACUCAUCUAGACAUCUGUGAUGAAUACAACACUGGCGACGUACCAGAGAACACUGCCUAUACCAUGGUUUGUCCUGCUGACUUUUAUAUACAUGUGUAUGCGGCGUUCUUUGGCAAUGGCGCUACAUGUUCUGACGCCACAGCAUUAGCGGACGCUCAAACAGCUUGCCAUCAACAAACGGACUCCUGUGUGCUGACAUUUAGUAACACUACGUUUGGUUCUGACCCAUGUUCAGGACACGGUGUUUCAAAUUAUGGGUCUGCAACAAUGUAUUGCGCAAAACAUCAACAGUUGGAGGAUUGGCGAGGCCCGUGGCGACUGGUGUUCAAAGUUCCAAAAGGCGCUUCUGUACCAGCGGGAUAUGCUGACGUGAACGCUUUGUAUAGCGCCAGCGGCUCUUACAAUGAAGAUGAUACAUCGGCUAAGACUGACUUUAGCGCCUCUGGCAGUAUCUAUAAAUCCGCACUGCUGGACCAGUGGGGAGACAAUCUCACCGUUAAUUCCAUGCGACUGUCAGUUUUCAAGGAUGGAUCUGAAAAAGCCUACAUUGUGUUUGAUACAUCACAGACAACAAAGUCUAACUGGUUUGACUGCAGUAAGAUUAUUGACUCAAGCUAUCAUGACAUCGUCGAUGGCAACACAACAUGUACAUUAAAUGAUGGAGGCACGGGGAAAAGAACAUUCUACAUCAGUAGUGACUAUUCCGGGUGUACUAACGAGACAGGUUGGAUCAUGAUGAAGGACUACGGAGCAAGCACAGGGUGUUCCGAGUGGGACUCGACCAGUAUCACCAGACCAUACAUCUACUUCUCGGGUCUCGGCACACGGGUCCAGUGGUCAACAGCGGACAAAGUGGAAGCUGAUUCUUUUGCACUUUUUAUUGUCGAGUGGCAUAUGGUAUUCAAGGCCAUUCAAGGUCUGGCGCCGACGACGUAUACCAACUUAGUUAACUUAUGGACGACCUCAAUCACAGAAAAUGAGUACGAUACCACCGUACAGUCCCUCACGAACUCGCCUAGUAAAGCCUUCAAAUCCGGUGUUGUCGACACCUGGUCGGACACCUUUACAUUUAUCGACAUGGUGAAAUACUCGCAUUUCUUAGGUGGAGUUGAAAAGGCUUGGGUUGUUUUUGAUGGCGUAGAUACCACUAAAACCACAUGGUUUGCAGAUAGCAAGAUCUUAUUCUCCAGCUAUAAGGACAUAAAGACUGGUGGGAAAUCCCGAGCAAGUGUUACAGGAGAUGGUAUGCGGUCAUUUUCCCUCAUCUAUACAGAAUCCACCUGUGAUUCAACUACAGCAUGGAUGUUUAUGCUUGACUAUGGCACAUCGUCUACCUGUAGAUUCGACACAGAGUCUAGAGUCGUCACCAAGCCGUAUUUUCUGUAUAGCAACACUGACUCUUACGGAAAUCCACAAGUCAGCAAUAAUUGGGACAGCGUGAACUUCCCCUACGCAGAUGUCAUGGGGAUAUUUAUCAAAGGAUGGUUCCCGGUCUUGAAAGUUGCCAAGGGAAUGGACAUCUCGCCUGCGACCGGAAUAUAUGAUCUCUGGACGAGUACUUACAUAUUAAACGAGUAUAACGAUACAAAUGAAGCGUUUUCAUUUGCCGCCGACACCAUGACUUACAAAUCGAGUAUAGUGGAUAAUUGGUCAAGUUAUUAUUUCCGCGCGGUACGUUUGUCGUUCUACACGGCAGGGUCAGAGGCUGGGUUUGUUGUAUUCGAUGCGCAUGGAUCGGACAAGACAUCUUGGUUUUCAUGUGACAGGAUACUCUACACAUCGUGGACUGACCUAAAUCGAUACGCGACAAAAGACUACUGUAGUGUGUCAGGAGACUCUGCAAAUAGCCGAUACUUUUUCCUCGAAAACUCGUUAGGAGCUUCCUGCGACGUUAGUAGGGGAUGGUUUGGAGUGAUGGAAGCAUCAUCUGGAAGUUGUACGUGGGAAACGAAAACAACACGACCUUAUGCAAUGUACAGCUCAGGAACCAAAAUGGAUACUAAUGCAGCCAUGAGUGUAGCAGACGUGUUUGCGAUAUCCGUAUCUAUGGACAACAUAUGUGAUAUCGUCACCUGCGAAAACGGCGCAACCUGCCUUGAUUGGGGCGUUACAUACCGGUGUCUCUGCGAAGAUGGCUUUUAUGGGUGGCUCUGCCAGAAUAUUGACGGUAAUUACACCACGUGGACGGACUGGGCUGACUGUAGUACAACAUGUUACGCUGCAGGUACUCAAUAUAGGACGCGCACAUGUACCAAUCCAACUCCUCUAGGGAUCGGGCAAGACUGCACCAGAUACGGUGAACCGUCACAGACCAUGAACUGUAUCCCAACCCAUCUUGAUGUCUGUUCUGAAUACAACACAGGAGACAUGUCUCAAGAAACAUCCUAUAUAAUGGUUUGCCCGAGUGAUUUCUACAUACAUGUGUAUGCAGCAUAUUAUGGAGACGGCACAUUAUGCUCUGACGCUAAUGCUCUAGCUGACGUUAGGACAGUCUGCCAUUUGCAGACAGAUCAAUGCAAUGUGACAUUUUCUGAUACAUUUUUCUCUGGCAAUCCGUGUACUGCGUAUCCUGGAGCGGUUGUCGCUGGAAGUGCUAAAUUCUACUGUGCUAAGAGCCGUGAACGUGAUAAUUUAAGAGGACCGUGGCGACUGGUAUUCAAGGCACCCAGCGGUACAGCCCCGCCGGCUGGCUACGCGGACAUCAUGGCUUUGUAUGAUGCAUCGGGCGCAUACAAUGAGUUCGAAACAGCAGCAAUGACUGACUUCAGUGCAGGCGGAACCAUCUAUAAAUCUAUAAUAUUAGACAACUGGGGAGUCAACACAACUGUCAGCGCAGUAAAAUUAUCUGUAUUUGAUAACGGUCGGGAAGUACAGUAUGCUGUCUUCAACGCUAUAGGAAAAGAUAAAACGAACUGGUUUGAUUGUGACAACAUCGUAGAAUCUUCCUGGCACGAUUUGCCUGAUGGGAACAGGACCUGUACCAAAAGUACCGCCGACACGUGGAAAAGAAACUUUUACCUCCAGAGUGACUACCCUACCUGCACAAAUGAGACAGGGUGGUUCCUCUUCAAAGACUAUGGGGCGAGCUCCGGAUGUGCAGAGUGGGACGUCACGACAUCUCUACCAAAGAUUUUCUAUUCACAAACGCCUGAGCGCGUCGUAUGGUCUUCCGGAAAUAUGGCAACUGCAGAUGCAAUGGCAAUCUUUGUUAUGGACUGGCACAUGGUAUUUAAGGGUGUUGAAAGUGUGACACCUGCAGCUGGCAGCAUGGCCACCCUAUGGACUGGAGCGGACACGGAAAACGACAACGACAUAACUGCUACGACACUGACUAAGUCCCCGAACCUGGCUUACAAGUCUAGUCUACUGGAAAAUUGGGCCGAUCCAUUCACCUUCAUAGAUAUGGUGAAGUAUGCGUUCUUUACGGGAGGUGUUGAAAAAUCGUAUGUGGUCUUUGAUGGAAGAAGCACUUCAAAGACAUCCUGGUUCACGUCUUCGAAAAUCCUGUUUUCGAGUUACAGUGAUAUCAAGACUGCCAGUAUAGACCAUUGCAGCAUCACUAGCGAUACAAGACGGAAAUUCCUAAUAACCCAUGAUGUGACAACCUCGUGUGCCUCCUAUCAAAUGUGGAUGGCAACACUUGAUGUUGGGGGCUCUACUUACUGUAAUUUUGACAAUUACAUCGUUCUUGGUGCUUCAAGACCCAAUUUUCUGUACAGUUCCUCUGACCAGUACGCUUACCCACUCUCAAGCGGGACCUGGGAUAGUGCAAGUGUACCAAGAGCAGACGUCAUGGGCGUAUUUAUUAUAGGUUGGUACCCUCUAAUGAAAGUCGCCAAAGGGGUUGAUUUAUCGCCGGCUACCGGAGUUUACGAUCUGUGGACAGGCACAUACACACUGAAUGAAUACAACGACACAGAUACUGCUUUCUCAUUCGCAGCAUCAACAAUGCCUUUUAAGUCAAGUGUGGUGGAUAAUUGGUCCAGUUACUACUUCAAGGCGGUACGUGUGUCUUUCUAUGUGACUGGAGAGGAGAAAGCCUUCGUUGUAUUUGAUGCUCAUGGCACUGACAAGAACAGCUGGUUCAACUGUGAGAAAAUUCUUUAUACAUCAUGGCCAGAUGUUAAUCGAUACGCCAAUAGAGAUUACUGCAGCAUUGUCGGGGACAGUGCCAAAAAUAGGCGAAUGUUCAUGGCGUCCUCGUAUGGAGAUACAUGUUCGACAGACAGCGGCUGGUUCGGAGUAGUUGAAGACAGCACAACCACCUGUUCAUGGGAACAAAAAACCUCCAGACCAUUUGCCAUAUACAGUGACACAACGUCCCUUGAAAACUUUGAUGAUAUGGCCGUAGCAGAUGUGUUUGCAAUAUCUAUGUCUAAGGACUCGAUUUGCGACAUAGUGGAAUGUGAAAAUGGCGGCACGUGUUAUGAUUGGGGAGCUCGAUACCGCUGUUUCUGUGACGGAUAUUUUUACGGCUGGUUGUGUCAAAACUUGGACGGGAACUGGACAACUUGGACUGACUGGAGUGCGUGUAGUACGUCAUGCUACGCAAUAGGGACCCAGUACAGAUACCGUAACUGUACUGAACCAGCACCAGUUGGACACGGUCUGGACUGCGGUUAUCCUGACCUCGAGGUUCAGACCUGUGUACCAGAUCACGACGUCUGUCCCGAAUACAACACGGGUAAUCUCUUUGAAAGCAAGAACUACACCAUGAUUUGUCCUGUUGGUUUCUAUAUCUAUGUUGAUGAUGCAUAUUACGGCGACGGUACGAACUGUGCCACAACCGAUGCUAUAAAUAGACUGAGAGGAUACUGUCACGAACAGACAGACAGUUGUCAGUUUUUCUUCACGGACUCUUACUUUGGCGGGGAUCCUUGCGCAUCUUAUCCGAGUGCAGUCAAAUACGGAUACGCCAAGCUAAACUGUAUCAAACGUGAUAUACUGGAUUCCUAUCGCGGACCUUGGCGGCUUGUAUUUAAAGCACCAGCAGGCAAACAAGAAAGUGGAUAUACGGACGUAAAGGCGUAUUAUGACGCAACAGCUAGCUCUACAGAGUCAGAUGCGGAUGUUACAGAUAAGAGAGACUUUAGUACAUCAGCUGGUGUCUUCAAAUCUAAACACUUAGACGAAUGGGGCACAUCAGUAACAGCACAAGCGGUUCGGCUGUCAGUUUGGAAGAAUGGUAAGGAGGUCCACUAUGUCGUGUUUGACGCCUUCGGAAAGACUAAAUCUGAUUGGUUGGACUGCAGUAAAAUCUUGUACUCCAGCUGGCAUGAUCUUGAUGCUACACAAAAUGUCACAUGCCAAAUAAGAGAAGACAAUAUUAAAAAGAGAACGUUUUACCUGAGUCGAGGGGGAUACACCAGCUGUACAGACGAAAGCGGUUGGCUGAUGUAUAAAGACCUAGGUGCAAGCAGUGGCUGUUCUGAGUGGGAUCCUACAUCAGGUCUGCCGGCCAUCAAAUACUCUACAGCAACAGAACAUGUCACGUGGGCUACAGGGCCGACUGGAGAUGCUGACGCCUUAGCCAUUUACAUUAUGGAUUGGUUCAUGGCGUUCAAGGGCGUGCAGGGAGUAACAGCUUCAACCGGAAGUCUGAAGUCCCUGUGGGAGUCCGAAGAAACCGAAAAUUACCUCGACACUACCGCUAAAACUGUGUCAACAGCACCAGGUCUCACCUUCAAAUCAUCACUUCUGGAACUAUGGCUGGAAUCCUUCACUUUUAUUGAAAUGGUGAAAUACGGCUUUUAUUCUGGAGGAGCCGAGGUCGCAUUUGUCAUUUUUGAUGGUCGUGGUACGACGAAGGAUUCUUGGUUCAACUGUGCUAACAUCCUUUUCUCCAGUUAUGAUGAUAUCGUCUCACAGUCAAAGUCACAUUGCAGUAUACAAGGGGAUGACAUAAGGAAUUUUGCAAUCCUGAAGCAAGGCGGAACAAGUUGUGCUAACGUACAAGGUUGGAUGAUGUUGUCCGAAAACUCAACUGAACCCUGCGUAUUUGAUCGCGCAUCGAAUGUGGAGGCCAAUCCGUUUUUCCUGUACAGCAGCAGUAGCAUAUACAAUACCCCGCAGAAUGCUUUUACCUAUUACUCCGCAGGAAUGCCAGCUGCCGACACAAUGGGGGUGUUCGUAAAAGGUUGGUUCCCGGCAUUCCACAUUGCACAUGCCGGCGCUUUAUACUCGGCCAGUAGUAUUUAUGAUUUGUUUACGGGGACUUACAUAGUCAAUGAAUACAAUGAAACAGCAUUCUCCCUCGACACCUACGCUAUGACUUUUAAGUCCAGCGCAAUAGACGGAUGGGAUUCUCUUUAUAUACAGGCGGUACGAGUUUCAUUUUUCAAAAACAACGUAGAAGUCGCCUAUGUUGUAUUCGAUGGACAUGCCACAACAAAGACAAACUGGUUUGAUUGUGAUAGAAUUUUAUAUUCAUCAUACAGAGAUCUAACGCGAGAAACGCCAACAGAUUUCUGCAGCAUCGCUGGUGACACAAAUAGACGGUUUUUCCUUGAGGCAUCUUAUGGUCUCGACUGUGAUGCUAAUAGUGGAUGGUUCGGUGUAGUGGAAGGGGCAGGAACCUGUGGAUGGGAGACACUAGCCACGCCCCCAUUUUUCCUGUAUAGCGAUGCUAAUACAGUAGAGGAGAAUUCGGCAAUGGAAGUCGCGGAUUCUUUUGUCAUAUCAUUAGCGAUGGACAAUAUAUGCAGUACCGUCGAUUGUCUGUAUGGAGCCACGUGUGAUGACCAGGCAGGACGCUACGAUUGUAUAUGUGCCGGCGACUAUUAUGGUUGGCUGUGUCAACACUUGGAUGGUAACUGGACCGCCUGGUCAGACUGGGACACGUGCAGUACCACGUGCUAUGCAGAAGGUGGUCAGAACCGUUACCGAAACUGUACCAACCCCGCACCUGUCGGGGAUGGUCUGUACUGUCCUGGUGUCGAUAUAGAGUUUCAGUACUGCAUACCUGAUUUAUCCAUUUGUACAGAAUACAACACGGGUAACAUACAGGAGAAUGGCUGGUACCACAUGGUUUGCCCAUCCAGCUAUUACAUGUAUAUAGAUUCGAACUUUUACGGUUUUGAUAGCGAUGGGCCAAAUGAGUGUAGCGAUCCUAAUGCGUUUGACAUCCUGUUUGAUCAAUGCCACAAUGUUACUAACGGAAGCUGUAGGUUCUAUUAUGACGAGGUGAACUAUGACGACCCCUGCAACAAGACCUAUAGCCAGAUAACCAAUUACGGAUUCUCCUUAUUAUACUGUGCAAGAGAUGGGGUAUGGAACGCCUGGCAACCAUGGUCGUUCUGUUCCGUAACCUGUGGUGGUGGAACCCGGUACAGGGAACGUGUUUGCGACAACCCAGAACGAGUCUGGCCAGGGAAUGAUUGUCCAGAUGUCUAUAAUGACAGUAAACCCUGCAAACCGCAAGCUUGUCCUGUUUGUGGGGACCAUUAUGCUGGAUAUGACGAGCCUUCAAAUAUAACAGUAUUCAAUGACACUAGAGUGGGAAUGGGAUUUCUUUUACUUGACGUCAAUUGGGAUUUCCCCUGCUGUGAGGUUAUACAAGCUUUUGAGUUUGUGCCGAGAGUAGCAGGAGAAAUUUAUUUCCACAUAUGGCGAAAAUUUAGCAGUACAAAGUACGAACUUCUACACAAGACUAAUUAUACAGUGAAUGACACUGAAAUCGGAUCUGCCAUCAAUCAUUCCCUUCCGUUGAAGAAGAGGUUGUCAGUAAGACAGGGAGACUUCCUCGGCUGGUUUACUCCUGGGGAAAACAUGAUCAAGUACGCCGAAUGUUGUUGUGAAGGUUGUCCAAACCAGACUUGGGUAGCUCCUUUACCUGCAAACCUUGAUGAAGGCGAUAAAUACAGAUGGACGUCGCUUGGAACCAAGCUUUCCGAUGUUGCGUAUGCUAUACGUUUCUUCACAGCACCGAAUACCGUGCCGUAUGUGAACCAGACUUUAUAUGAUGCCCUGGUACCCGAUAAUACUCCUAUAGGGGGGAGCUGUAUUAACUACCACGUGACUGACGACGAUAUCGGGGACGGCGAUCUUCUCACUCAUUCCUUCGUUGAUACUACAGGACUAUUUGAGCUAAAUACGACUUUUCCUGGAAACAUCCACAUCCAGACAACAAAUGUCUUGCCAAGCACGUACUCGGUGUUUGAACUGGUGCUGAACACCGCAGACGACUGUCAAAACACCGCUACCACCACGCUGACGAUCAUGACCUACAAUGCGCCGCCUAUUUUUAUCAACCUACCGGACAGUAUAGAAGUGAGCGAGGCCCUGGUCGAGGAAGCCAUGCUGUUUGAGAUCGACGCUGUGGACCAAUCGGAGAACGACUCAGUUUGCUGUACACUAACAGAGGUUAUCCCGGGAUCACUCAACUUCCAGAUGAAAUUCAUUAACAACACAUACAGACUGUAUACAGUUGAAAACCCGGUGUUUAGCUACAAGGACAUAAGCGAUUACUAUAAGGUGUAUUUCUGCUGUUCCGACGACCACGGGAUUUCAACUCAGUUCCUCGAGAUUUUCAUGAUUGACGUGGAGGAAGUAAUAGCAUACGUGCCGCCAACUUGGUUUCUGACAGCCAUCAGUGUCAGUAUGGUUCCUGUGACUGUGACGUUUGUAUUUGCAUGUAUGGUGAUGUUAAACACCCUGUUUUGUGAUGCGGAAAUCGAGUAUUACUACGAAUAAUCGAGCAAUGCCUGAAGCCCUUAGUAUUUGGAAAUAUUUACAAACUGUUAAAUUUUGUUUCCGAUUAUUUAUGUUACAUAUAUUGAAAGUAAAACUGACAAUAUUGCAUGGUUGCUUAUGUCACAGCAAGUUUAGACCGUGACGCGUUAAAUAUUUGUGUGUUUUUAAAGGGUAUUAAGGUUUUGCUAUCUAUUCCAUUCAAAUAAGUGCAUCAUUUGUAUAUGUAUCUUCUUUCAUGUUUACUUAUUUCACAGCAAAUUUAGACCCUGACACGUUAAAUAUUUGUGUUUGUUGUUGUUUUGAAAAUAUUUAAAAGUUUUGCUUUCUAUUCCAUUUUAAUAAAUGCAUCAUUUUUAUAUGUAUCUUCUUAUAUGUAUAUCAGUUGCUCAUCACUUUUUUAAGACAAUGUAUUUAGGCCGUAUGGCUCGUCAAAUUGUUGAAUCUGUAGAUCGCUUGUUAGUUGCCUAUAUCUUGGAUAAUUCAAUACUAUAUCAGUUUUUUGUCAGCAUUAUAUGUAUGUUGUGUUUGAAUUGACACAUGUGUGAUAAUUUCAUAUCAUCGUAGCUGCCAUUCGAAUAUAAUCAAAUAGAGAAAUAUGUAUUUAACAACCACGCAAGAGAUACACGGACAUAGUCGUUAUAGAUAUGCAUGACAUGUAUUUAUAUACAGAACGUCAUGUUGUGAAUUAUUCAACAAGUUUUUAUAACCAGAUGGUAUUACCAGUGAUGGUGUUCUUAAGUCAGAUUUCCCGAUAUUUAAGUAGGUUGUUCGGCAGUUAUUUGAAGCAAGCAAGCACCUCUCUAAUGUCUUGCUUUAUUUAAGUUAAUAUCAUCUUAAUGUAUUAAUGUCAUUCAUGUACUAUUUACUCAUUAUUUGUGGUUUUAAUUAUCAUUAUCUAUAAAAUGUGUAUUGCUGAAUCUGUAAAGUUUUCCUACCCAUUGUAAUACAACUUUUGUUAAAAAUUGUAAUAGAAAGUAUUCUAUCUCCUAUUAAAUUGAUAUUAUAGUGCUUUAUGGUGAGAAAAAUACAAAAAUUGUAGAAUGUAAACUGAAUAGUGGGAAACGGGGUUUCCUAAUAAGGUAUUCUGAUAUGUAUUAAAGUCCUUUGCAUCAUUAUACUCAUAUACUUCCACUAGUGUAAUAAUAUAAUGUCUGCAAAUCUUAAUGAUAAAAAAUAUUCUAAACUUGUUCCGCUUUAAUUAGAUACAGAUUGUUUCGCGAUAUUUUACUUUAAGAUAUAUUCACAUCGGUUAAAACAGUAUUUAUAUAUUCAUGUUUCUAAGCUGGCAACUUCCUGCAUCCAACAAUAAGUUGUGAACCGCUUUGAGAUGACCUACGAACUAGGUUGUAAUAAAGUGGUAUAUAAUAACCUCGAAUUAUCAAUUAUUACUAUUACACAUAAACAUACGUAUAUGAGUAUAUUAUAUAUAAUAACGACAGUAUGUCCAAUAAGGGAACUGGAUCCGAACAAAUAGUGUAUCUUGUUAAGAUGAGUACGUGCCUUUUUCAAUGUAUUCGCUAGGUUUAUCUAUGUGAAAUAAACUUGCUGUCAAUAUACGUUUCAGAAUGUUGCUUUAAUCCAAGAUAACCUCAAAUAAGGUUAUUAGACUUUGUUUUCAUUGUUGAUAAUUGCUAUAUACUGAUAACAAAUGUGAUUGUUUCCUACGAUAAUCCUACACGGGUUUUACCUGAUUAUGUAUAUAAGUUGAUCCGAAUAGAUGGCUUUAGGAUACUUAUCCAUUAUGCCAAACAAUAUACGCCCAACAAUUGGAAUAACGUUGACUAGUACAAAAUAUCAUAUAUUUACACGUUCAUUUAUCUGUGCACCUGUUUUGUAUAUUGCAAUUGUAUUUGUGUUUGCAGAAAAUGUAUUUUGAACGUUAUCUGUGAUGAAAGUUGCUUUGUUAUUUAUGUACAAUUCCACCUUUUCUGACGUAUACCGGAAAACUUUCGCUCAGUCAAACUUUUGUCUUUCAUCGGUAUAAUCUAUAUUCUCCCAGUGCUGAUAUCGCCCUUCAUAUUCUGUUGCUAGUUUAUUUUUUUUAUCUUAAUCAACGUUCGAUGUAAUAAUACGUUAGCCCUGAUUGUUACAGCUAAAAGGCGAAAAUUGCAAUUGUUAAAAAGCAUUUACGUACAUUUGCACCAUAAUAUCGACUAACCUGAGAAUUGGAUUUCUGUGGCUUCAUUUGUUAUGUUACUAUUAGCAGGCUGUUGAAAUUACGAACCAGUAACAAACAUCCUCUCAUUUGAAACUACUCAACUGAGUAUGCUUCUUCCCUUACAAAAGGAUGAAUUUACGACACAAAUGUAACGACAAGCCAAUGUGAUACGAAACAUAAACAACAGGACAUGAAGAGGCAGGUAGCAAAAAUACAAAAAACAAAAACUUCAUCAUCCCCACAUCUCCUGCCCCUUACACCAUCAAAUCACCGCCCUUGAAACAUUACCUAAUGCAGACUUCCGUAUUUGUACAUAUGUUUUGGAAAUCUACGAUAUCUACUUUAAAUCACACAUUCUUUUAAACUUUUUGUGAAUGAAAGGAGAAGUUAUGGAAAUGGAGAACGUUAAUAAAGUGACAUAUUCCACAAUUAUAAUAAAGUCCCAUUAACAUUGCUCCCCGACCGAUGUAAAUUCUAGAUACAAAAAAGUUUCAAAUCACUAAUUGCAAAUUAUUGACAAUAUAAUGCGACUGACACUUUCUCUCCAGAACGCAAUCACUAAACCAGGUCAUUUAAGCGGCGAUAGUUAUUUUUGUCUUCUUGGUUAGUAAUAUGAUACAUAAUUGCUUAUGGCCAAAUAUGUCAAUAUGUAUACUAGACACAUGCUACAGAAAAACAUAUCAGUAAUGUUACCGAUUAAGUUCGUAAGAAGCUGUCGAAUGUAAAUACUACACACAAUGUUAUAAAAAUGAUCACCAUAAAAAGCUUGUGAGAUAACGCCCUCUCUACACUUAAAUGUAAUGGAUGUCCUAUAGAUACGUAUUUGACAAUAUAGAAUCAUUUAUUCCAUUUGUUUGUCUUUUUAAUUACAAUUCCUUUGUACAGCGUGGUACUUUGUCUAGUGUAGCCUGUGGGAUAUUGUUCACAAUAGGGACGAUCGGCUGCAGUUAUCACACCGAUCAGGCAAUUAAAACAUUAAAGGCUCAUUUAAAUAACUGUUUGUACCGCUACCACUGUCAGUGCGGCACAGUAGUAACUCGAUCAUCCUUGCAUCGAUAUGUGUUGGUUUGGUUUACUGUCCAUGGAUUAAUGCAACAACUUAAACCGCUGCCGUGAUGUAAUGUGUUAACGGUCAUCAUUAUGACUUCUGUAGAAAGGAAAACACUAGUGAUAUCACUUAUAUUCUCGUUAAUCUGUGAAGGGAUAUACGGUCAACAACUUGACGAAUUGAGAGGACCUUGGCGACUGGUGUAUAAAGUCCAUCGUAACGACUAUAUGUCAGGACUGACCAGUGCAGCCAACUUCUUGACCACGUCGGGCGGAUCCUCCGAGACAAGUGUGUCGGUGAUG